AUAGUUUCCAGUUGCUAAAAUAUUAGUACUUGUAUAUUCAGUUGAAUUCUAUUUCACUGAUUAAUUGCUAUUGUAGUUGGGAAAAUUAUAAAAGCAUUUUAAUUUUGAUGUAAACUAUACAUGUGGUUUAUUAAUUAUAUUAACAUUAUCAAAAAUGGAUAUCAGGAAAGACUCUAUUUUGAUGAGAAAAGUACAAUAUUGAAGAACAAAGGACAUUGUCCUAACUUGGUAAACACUGACUGUUAACAUUGAUGGGGAACCUGGGCAUACUUGUGGUUAUAAAGGUUAACCCCAAACUUCACACUCCCAUGUACUUUUUUCUUAACCACCUAUCAUUUUUGGAUAUAUGUUAUUCUAGUGUAUUUACACCCAAACUUUUGCAGAUAUUGAUUAUGGAAGAUGGGACCAUUUCUUUUAUAGGAUGCAUGAUACAAUUUUUCUUUAUUUGUACAUUCGUGAUUACAGAAAUAUUCAUGUUAGCAGUGAUGGCUUAUGACAGGUUUGUGGCUGUUUGCAAUCCCCUAUACUACACAUUAAUUGUAAUGCCUAUACAAUUCUGUGCUCUGCUAGUUGCUGGGACAUAUAUGAUCAGUGGACUAUGUACUUUGAUAAUUCUAUAUACUCUUUUGCAACUCUGUUAUUUUGAACAUGGCAUCAUCAAUCACUUUGGCUGUGAAUACUCUGCUGUCAUCUCUGUGUCUUGCUCUGAUUCCUCCUUUAGCCAGUUGAUAUGCUUAGUCAUAUCUAUUGCUAGUGAAUUUUCUAGUGUCCUGAUCACUUUAGCCUCAUAUGUGUUCAUAGUUGUCACUAUUAUAAAGAUGCCUUCCAAAGGAGGACUACAGAAAGCCUUCUCCACCUGUACUUCCCACCUGACUGCCAUAACAAUUUUCCAUGGGAUCUUACUACUCCUGUACUGUAUUCCCAACUCAAACAGCUCACGGCUCUUUGUCAAAGUGGCCACUGCUCUUUAUACAAUCAUGAUCCCCAUGUUGAACCCCCUUAUCUAUAGCCUUAGAAAUAAAGAUGUGAAGGACACAGUCAGGAGACUUAUCAGCUCAAAACUGCACUCUCACUUGACAUAGUUAUGAAUACUGUAGGAUGUGUGUAUGGGUGUAUAUAUGUGUGUGUUUAUGUAGACACAGAAAGAGGCCCAGACUGAAGCAGAAACAUUGUGAGAGGCAAAGAGAGGUGAGAGGGGGUGAUUGACUGUGGUAAUUUUCUAAGUUCAAAUGGAUUUACAUUUUCUAUAUUUUAUAUAAAUAUUGUGUAAUUUGACUAAGUAUAAGCAGUUUCAAAUAGGGAAUAUUUAGAAAUUUCUAGACACUCUGGAUGUUAGGAUUUAGAAGUUUAAAAGCACAAUUCAUUACUUACAUCAUUUCUUAAUAUGAGAUUGUUACG
rnacentral:lncRNA from 1 species